UCAAGGACUAGAGAGAAGAAGUGUUUUUUAGAUCACCGUCAUUCUGUGACGGGGCAACAUCUACUGGAUCAAAAAGUCACACAUUCUUCCUUUAAGUUAGAGAAAUACAUUUUGAAAUUGCUUAGUAAACAGUAUAUUUUUAGAAUGUUUGCAGCAGCAUCCCUGUAUCCCUGUACGUCGAAGUGAAAUUGAAGUUUUAUGCAGAUAAAUAAUAGAUAUAAGAAUAGCUGUGAUGGUGGGAUCAUGCACAAUGAAGCUCAAAACAUCAAACAAGGCAACUAAAAGGUUAACACAUUUCUAAAGGACAUGAAAGUCAAGAAAAUAUUUAAAAAAUGUUCUUUCUAUUUUGUCGUUGUCUUUCAGUUUUGGAAUCGUCCUGUGGGAGGUGGCAACCCGCAAGAGACCUUUUGAUGGUUGGUCGAGUAAGGACAUUUAUCAAAAAGUGUGCAAAGACAAGUUUGUGGAGCCGCUCCCUGACGACUGUCCUGAACCACUGGGAAAUCUGAUCGACGCAUGUCGGGCCUACGACAGCUUUCUGAGACCGUCUGCUGGAGUGCUGGUGGAUAAACUACGCUGCGUGGUGGCGCAGUUAGAGGAGCAGUAAAACUGUCAGUGAGCGAUACUCAGGGUUUGUGAUCGUCCUCAGGAGGAGUCAUCGAGUCAUCACAUUGUGUGUUAUGUGCUGAAAAUCACACAAGAAGAGUUUACACGGCACUGAAGGCCAGAUAAGAUUGUGUUUAUGAUUACUUAUAGGUUCUCAAACCAAGGAUUAAUCUCGAAUAUGCAACAGUUUUUACAUGUUGAUCAAAACUAAUGCAAAGAAAAAGAUCUGGAUGUGCUUUGGUAGAUUGCUUCAGCCUGCAGCAUCAAACAGGCUGUAAUAAAAUGAAUCUGUAUGAAGUAC